rnacentral:rRNA from 1 species
UACGGAGGAUCCAAGCGUUAUCCGGAUUUAUUGGGUUUAAAGGGUGCGUAGGCGGUUUUAUAAGUUAGAGGUGAAAAUUCGGGGCUCAACUCCGGACGUGCCUCUAAUACUGUAUGACUAGAGAAUAGAUGCGGUAGGCGGAAUGUAUGGUGUAGCGGUGAAAUGCGUAGAGAUUAUACAGAACACCGAUUGCGAAGGCAACUUACCAAACUAUAUCUGACGUUGAGGCACGAAAGCGUGGGGAGCAAACAGG